AACUAAUCUGGAGCGCUGCAGAUCCCUUCAAGAACGCCUCGGAGAUCACGGGCCGUGACACUUGGAAAACAAGAUGAUAUAUACGUUCGUGUGGAUAUUUAUGCUCCUAACACCUUGCCUGCAGUAUGUUCGUGGGUCAGAUUCAGAGCAGCAGUCUGCAUCGUCUGAGCCUGCGAACGAGGACACUCAGUCCGAAGCAAAGAGGUUGCCUUAUAGUCCAGAAGAUUUGGACCCUCUGUUUCUGACGCCCUACAUUAUGAACUGUACCUA